rnacentral:lncRNA from 1 species
GCAAAAUUUAAAAUCACAAAUUGGCUAAAAGUACUGAUCCAUUAUCCUUUGAAGAAGUUUUUCCUCUUUUUUGGCCCGUUGUUAUUAGUAAUACCUCUAGUAGUUGAUACUUCAGGAAGUCUGAUUCUCAUGUUAUGUUACACAUAGAUCACUAUAAUUCUUACGGGAAUUCCAACCUUCCCAGAGCUAAAUAGUUUAGCUGCUUCAACUGCUCCAGACUAUUGAAGUAUGCAAAUCAGCACAAAAUGUGACAUUCUGACA